GCUGGGUGUCGUGGCGCAUGCCUGUGAUCCCAGCCACUUGGGAGGCUGAGGCAGGAGGAUCAGGAGUUCAAAGCCAGCCUCAGCAAGUUAGCGAGGCCCUAAGCAACUCAGUGAGACCCUGUCUCUA
rnacentral:sRNA from 1 species